rnacentral:misc_RNA from 1 species
AUUCUUAUGAAGAAGCCAAAAAAUGGGUCGAUUCGUGGAUAACCUCAAAGGAUGAGUUGUUCUUUCGACAUGGUAUUCGUAUGCUGCCAGAAAAAUGGGAGCAGAGUUGUAAAAAUAUUAAUUAACUUCUCCUCAAUUUAAUAAUUGAUUUGAGGAAAUAAUUUCUAAUUUAAUUGAUUGACGAUUAAUAUAAGCCCAUUCAAUUAAAAAGAUUUUAAUUGACCAUUUAUUUGAACAAAUCUAGUUAAAAAUUAUUCAAUUAACGAUUGAUUUGAAGGAAUUCAAUCAAUAACCAUUGAAUCAACGAUUAAAACUAACAAAAGUAAUUAAAGAUUGUUCGAUUAACGAUUGAACAUAGUCAAUAUAAUUAAAGGCUAUUUAAUUGACAAUUGGUAUAAGCAAAUUUAAUUGAAAAGCGCAGUAAGACAAUUGACUAAUCUGUCAAUUCAAUGUUUACAUUACUCAUAGCAACUAACCGAGCUGAAUAUAACGUGAUACACAAGAAGUUUAAAAAACUUAGAUCCUUUGUUUCGGUCACAAAAGUAUUUUUUAAACAUUAUAUGAAAGAAAAAAUGUCGACGCAGAACUCCAUUGGACAAACUAAUAAUGAACAAAUCGAUUUGUUAACGGAUAAUUGUGCAGAGGAAACACCAUUAAAUUUACGGAUUGCGUGUAAUAAAACUCCGUAUUUAGACGGUACAUUUUUUGACGUGGGUUUCGGGAAAUCGUCUCAAGAUGGAUCUGCAGUGUAUGCCGCGUGUACUAAUUGCACGCCUAAGCAACUUAUUAAAGGGAGUUUAAAAGUAUCUUCUAAUUACAUAACACAUUUGAAGAGAAAACAUCCUGAUUUAUGCUCCGAAUAUUUAACUUAUAAAAACGAUAAACGAAAGUUGGCGGAAAGAUCAAACGUAAAUCGUAGAGCAACAUGAGCUUUUUCACAAGAACUGUUUGAAAAAAAUGUCACUGCUUAUAUAUUACAGAGCAUGUCACCAUUCAGCACUGUUGAGUUUCCAGCAUUUAGACAAAUAUUUAACAGUAAAUAACAGACAAAUAUUUAAGAGGUUUCAAAAUAAAAUAUGAUGAAGGAACUUUAAAACAUCUUACUCGAUACACUUUAACUAAAAGAAUUGACGCUCUUUAUAACGAGCAUAUAGAAGUCAUAAAAAACCACUUAAAAAAUACCAAACACGUUUGUACUACAACAGAUGUGUGGACUGUGCCCGAUCGUAGAGUUCUCGGCGUUACGACUCACUGGCUCUGUGACAAAAUUUUGGAGAGAAAAUCUGCUGUUAUAGCAUGCAAAACAAUAAAAGGUACUCAUUCAGCUGAAGCUAUUGCUGCCAAAUUAGCCAGAAUAUAUGCAUUUUUUGGAUUGUCUGAAGAAAAAAUAGUAGCUACAGUUACUGACAAUGGGUCUAAUUUUAUAAAAAGAUUCCGAAUGUUUGGCUUAAGCAGUAAUGCCAUUUCAAGAAAUGAAAGCCCAAGUACAAAUUAUCUUGACACAGAAAUGGAAAUAAACGACUUAUCUGAAACGAA